rnacentral:rRNA from 1 species
CCUACGGGUGGCAGCAGUGAGGAAUAUUGGUCAAUGGGAGGAAUCCUGAACCAGCCAUGCCGCGUGCAGGACGACGGCUCUACGAGUUGUAAACUGCUUUUGUACUGGGGUAAAAUGCCUUACGUGUAUGGUUUUGAUAGUACGGUACGAAUAAGGAUCGUCUAACUCCGUGCCAGCAGCCGCGGUAAUACGGAGGAUUCGAGCGUUAUCCGGAUUGAUUGGGUUUAAAGGGUGCGUAGGGUGGUUUAUAAGUUAGAGGUGAAAUAACGAGGCUCAACUUCGGGGCUGCAGCUAAUACUGUUGGACUAGAGUUCAGAUGCGGCGGGCGGAAUGUGAUGUGUAGCGGUGGAAUGCAUAGAUAUAAGACAGAACACCGAUUGCGAAGGCAGCUUGCUAGGCCGCAUCUGACACUGAGGCACGAAAGCGUGGGUAGCGAACAGGAUUAGAUACCCCUGUAGUC